AAGGAUAUUUCUCGGUACUUCUCCAAAAUAUAUUAAUCAAGAGUCUUCACAUUCUCCCUCUUUCUGUUUGAUCUGGGUGUUCAAAAUUUCCUCCCACAAUCGAAAGAAAUGAAAAUUAAGUUGGACUGGUAAAAAUCAAGUCUGCCUUGACUCAACUACAGAAACCAUCUGCAUCGAACAAUUGUUUCCACUUAACCUGACCAGUGGUCUAGCUAGUGAAACCGCAAACUUCACUCUGGGUAUUCAAAUAAAUUAACCAAUGUAACAUCUGGACAUUAACUUGGGUUGUAAAAAUCCACCUGGAGCAGUCUGCUAAAUUAGGGACCUCACAAGGGCAACAGGUCAGAAGUACUCAUGGGUCACAUUUUCAAAAAACAUGGAUUUAAUCGAUGAAAGCU